rnacentral:rRNA from 1 species
UACAGAGGGGGCAAGCGUUUGUUCGGAAUUACUGGGCGUAAAGGCGCGUAGGCGGCCUGCUAAGUCGAACGUGAAAUCCCUGGGCUCAACCCAGGAACUGCGUCCGAUACUGGUUGGCUUGAAUCCGGGAGAGGGAUGUGGAAUUCCAGGUGUAGCGGUGAAAUGCGUAGAUAUCUGGAGGAACACCGGUGGCGAAGGCGACAUCCUGGACCGGUAUUGACGCU